AAAAGAAACUAACAAGGAUUCCCCUAGUAACGGCGAGUGAACCGGGAAAAGCUCAAAUUUGAAAUCUGGCGUGCUCAGUGCGUCCGAGUUGUAAUCUAUAGAGGUGUUUUCCGUGCCGGACCGUGUCCAAGUCCCUUGGAACAGGGUAUCAAAGAGGGUGACAAUCCCGUACUUGACACGACGACCGGUGCUCUGUGAUACAUCUUCUACGAGUCGAGUUGUUUGGGAAUGCAGCUCAAAAUGGGUGGUGAGUUCCAUCUAAAGCUAAAUAUUGGCGAGAGACCGAUAGCGAACAAGUACCGUGAGGGAAAGAUGAAAAGCACUUUGGAAAGAGAGUUAAACAGUACGUGAAAUUGUUAAAAGGGAAACGAUUGAAGUCAGUCGUGACCGAGAGGCUCAGCCGGCUCUGCCGGUGUAUUCCCCUCGGUCGGGUCAACAUCAGUUUUGUCCGGUGGAUAAGGGCGGUAGGAAGGUGGCACCCUCGGGUGUGUUAUAGCCUGCCGUCGCAUACAUCGGGUGAGACUGAGGAAUGCAGCUCGCCUUUAUGGCCGGGGUUCGCCCACGU
rnacentral:rRNA from 1 species